CGAACGCUGGCGGCGUGCUUAACACAUGCAAGUCGAACGCGAACGUCUUCUUCGGAAGACAAGUAGAGUGGCGCACGGGUGAGUAACGCGUAGAUAACCUACCCUUAUGUCUGGGAUAACCCACCGAAAGGUGGACUAAUACCGGAUGUGCUUAUUUUUCAUAAGUUAUAUAAGUAAAGGUGGCCUCUGAUUUAAGCUACUGCAUGAGGAGGGGUCUGCGUACCAUUAGCUUGUUGGUGGGGUAAUGGCCUACCAAGGCGACGAUGGUUAGCGGGUCUGAGAGGAUGAUCCGUCACACUGGCACUGAAACACGGGCCAGACUCCUACGGGAGGCAGCAGUGAGGAAUAUUGCGCAAUGGGGGAAACCCUGACGCAGCGACGCCGCGUGAGUGAGGAAGGCCUUCGGGUCGUAAAGCUCUGUCAAGAGGGAAGAAAUGGAUAUUGGUUAAUACCCAUUAUGUUUGACGGUACCUCUAAAGGAAGCACCGGCUAACUCC
rnacentral:rRNA from 1 species